AGUCUCUGUAGUAUAUGCUAUUACCCCGGUCUUGUAAACCGAAAAAGAGAAACAACAUUCUCCAAAGACUUC
rnacentral:tRNA from 1 species